CCUACGGGAGGCAGCAGUGGGGAAUUUUGGACAAUGGGCGCAAGCCUGAUCCAGCAAUGCCGCGUGAGUGAAGAAGGCCUUCGGGUUGUAAAGCUCUUUUGUCAGGGAAGAAACGGCAGUUUCUAAUACAGAUUGCUAAUGACGGUACCUGAAGAAUAAGCACCGGCUAACUACGUGCCAGCAGCCGCGGUAAUACGUAGGGUGCAAGCGUUAAUCGGAAUUACUGGGCGUAAAGCGUGCGCAGGCGGUUUUGUAAGUUUGUCGUGAAAUCCCCGGGCUCAACCUGGGAAUGGCGAUGAAGACUGCAAGGCUAGAAUCUGGCAGAGGGGGGUAGAAUUCCACGUGUAGCAGUGAAAUGCGUAGAGAUGUGGAGGAACACCGAUGGCGAAGGCAGCCCCCUGGGUCAAGAUUGACGCUCAUGCACGAAAGCGUGGGGAGCAAACAGGAUUAGAUACCCUGGUAGUCCACGCCCUAAACGAUGUCUACUAGUUGUCGGGUUUUAAUUAACUUGGUAACGCAGCUAACGCGUGAAGUAGACCGCCUGGGGAGUACGGUCGCAAGAUUAAAACNCAAAUGAAAUUGACGG
rnacentral:rRNA from 1 species